CAGCUUCAGGGCACACCUGAAGCCUUCCCUUUUGCCACCAUAUGCUUUCCAACUCCUCUGCCUUUGUGCUGGUGGCUGACUCUUUUGCUAUAGCAAGCUCUGAAGACCUAUAGAAGGAGGUCCUUUCUACACUGGAUGGUGAUUCUAUUACCAGCAAAGUGUGUAUCACAGUCACCCAGGAGCUUGCUGAAACACACAAUCUUGGGUCCUUCCUCUCGACUUUCUGGUAAGUCUGACAAGCAACCUGAGAGUUGCAUUUCUUCUUUUUUAUUUUUUAUUUGUUUUUUGAUACAGGGUCUCACUGUCUUGUCCAGGUUGGAGUGCAGUGAUGCAGUCACAGCUUACUGCAGCCUCAACCUCCUGUGCUUAAGCA
rnacentral:lncRNA from 1 species